CAGUAGCCGCGGUAAUACAGAGGGUGCGAGCGUUAAUCGGAUUUACUGGGCGUAAAGCGUGCGUAGGCGGCUAAUUGAGUCGGAUGUGAAAUCCCCGAGCUUAACUUGGGAAUUGCAUUCGAUACUGGUUAGCUAGAGUGUUGGAGAGGAUGGUAGAAUUCCAGGUGUAGCGGUGAAAUGCGUAGAGAUCUGGAGGAAUACCGAUGGCGAAGGCAGCCAUCUGGCCUAACACUGACGCUGAGGUACGAAAGCAUGGGGAGCAAACAGUAUUAGAUACCCGCGUAGUCCCUGUCUCUUAUAC
rnacentral:rRNA from 1 species